rnacentral:rRNA from 1 species
AACGAACGCUGGCGGCGCGCCUAAUACAUGCAAGUCGAGCGAGAAGACGUAGCAAUACGUUUGUAAAGCGGCGAACGGGUGAGGAAUACAUGGGUAACCUACCCUCGAGUGGGGAAUAACUAGCCGAAGGUUAGCUAAUACCGCGUACGCUCCUUGGACUUCGGUUCAGGGAGGAAAGCGAUACCGUGGGUAUCGCGCUCUUGGAUGGGCUCAUGUCCUAUCAGCUUGUUGGNGAGGUAACGGCUCACCAAGGCUUCGACGGGUAGCUGGUCUGAGGAGGACAAUCAGCCACACUGGCACUGCGAC